rnacentral:rRNA from 1 species
GGGGGCAACUCCUUCUGUCGAGUGGCGGACGGGUGAGUAACACGUGGGUAACCUGCCCGGAAGUGGGGAAUACCUCGGGGAAACUCGAGCUAAUUCCGCAUGACAUCUUCGGGACGAAAGUCCUGACGAUCAAAGCGGGGUCGCAAGACCUCGCGCUACCGGAUGGGCCCGCGCCCGAUUAGCUAGUUGGUGAGGUAACGGCUCACCAAGGCUUCGAUCGGUAACCGGCCUGAGAGGGCGAUCGGUCACACCGGAACUGAGACACGGUCCGGACUCCUACGGGAGGCAGCAGUGGGGAAUCUUGCGCAAUGGGCGAAAGCCUGACGCAGCAACGCCGCGUGGAGGAUGAAGGCCCUUGGGUUGUAAACUCCUGUCGGCUGGGAAGAAGUCAUACGGUGUUAAUACCACCGUGUGUUGACUGUACCAGCAAAGGAAGCCCCGGCUAACUCUGUGCCAGCAGCCGCGGUAAUACAGAGGGGGCCAGCGUUAUUCGGAAUUAUUGGGCGUAAAGGGCGCGUAGGCGGCCAUGCGUGUCUUCCGUGAAAUCCCUCGGCUUAACUGAGGACGUGCGGAAGAAACUGCAAGGCUCGAGUCCGGGAGAGGGGGGUGGAAUUCCCAGUGUAGCGGUGAAAUGCGUAGAUAUUGGGAGGAACACCGGUGGCGAAGGCGGCCCCCUGGACCGGUACUGACGCUGAGGCGCGAAAGCGUGGGUAGCAAACGGGAUUAGAUACCCCGGUAGUCCACGCCGUAAACGAUGGGCACUUGGUGUCGCGGGUAUCGACCCCUGCGGUGCCGAAGCUAACGCAUUAAGUG